UACGUAGGGUGCAAGCGUUGCUCCGGAAUCAUUGGGCGUAAAGCGCACGUAGGCGGCUUUGUAAGUUAGAGGUGAAAGCCCGGGGCUCAACUCCGGAACUGCCUUUAAGACUGCAUCGCUUGAAUCCAGGAGAGGUGAGUGGAAUUCCGAGUGUAGAGGUGAAAUGCGCAGAUAUCAGGAGGAACACCGGUGGCGAAGGCGGUUCUCUGGGCAUGAUCUGACGCUGAGGAGCGAAAGUGUGGGGAGCAAACGGG
rnacentral:rRNA from 1 species